AAUAAAGAAGCGAUGGACAGUAAGGCAACUAAGCGCAUUCUCUUUUAACGUCUUCUACUUAGUUACAGAGACUAACGCGACAUUUUGCAAGAGAUGGCUUACUCUCUCCAGUUCUCGUUCGCUGCACCAGCUCUCGAACCUUACAUUAGAACCAAAGCUCGCCGUUUUCAAAUUCUCUGUUGUUCAGUAGAGUCCAGAGUUCAAAAGGGAGAAGAUGACGAUGAGGCCAGCAAUUGGAGGGGUCAUUGCAAAUCGAAUGUGAUUUUGGUGGAGAGAUAUAGCAAUGGAACUGCUAGAAGAUACAUGUUGGAUGAUGACUUGCAAUUAAAAAGUUUUCUUGAGGAACAUGGUGCCAAAAAUAGCAGGUCCCAAGAAUCACAUUCGUCUGGCACAAAAUUAUUAUGGCUUCCAUAUAUUGUCAAAGAUUUUAUUCUACCUGCAGGCUUCCCAGGAUCAGUUUCAGAUGACUACUUGCAGUACAUGUUAUUACAGUUCCCUACCAAUGUUACUGGGUGGAUCUGUCACACGUUAGUCACAUCAAGUCUUCUCAAGGCUGUUGGUGUUGGCUCUUUCACAGGUACUACAGCUGCUGCUUCUGCUGCUGCCAUCAGAUGGGUGUCAAAGGAUGGCAUCGGAGCUCUAGGACGUUUAUUCAUUGGUGGACGGUUUGGAAAUCUUUUUGAUGAUGAUCCAAAACAAUGGCGCAUGUAUGCAGACUUCAUUGGCAGUGCAGGAAGCAUCUUUGAUCUAACCACCCAAGUGUAUCCUGGCUACUUCCUACCAUUGGCUUCCCUUGGAAAUCUUACAAAGGCUGUAGCAAGAGGAUUAAAAGAUCCCUCAUUCCGUGUAAUUCAGAACCAUUUUUCAAUCUCAGGAAAUCUAGGAGAGGUAGCUGCAAAGGAAGAAGUUUGGGAAGUAGUUGCUCAGUUGCUUGGCCUUGGUUUUGGCAUAUUGAUCCUGGAUACACCUGGCCUCGUAAAAUCUUUUCCAUUGUUGGCAUCAACAUGGAUGAGCAUGCGGCUCCUGCACCUUUGGUUACGUUAUUUAUCACUUUCAGUUCUACAGUUUGACACAAUAAAUCUCAAGCGGGCUCGUUUACUGGUGAAAUCACAUAUUUUACACAAUUUUGUUUUAGGAUGUGUUGAUUGUAAUCGAGAAGAAAAUAUUUUAUCGUGGGAAACUUUCAUGACGCCACGGAUUACUUUUGGUGUACCCUUAGAGGAGAUGGUCGGCAGCGGCAGAUCUGUUACCAAGGUGCAUGCUUUUACCCAGAGGUGCUUGCCUGAGUGAGGUUGCCUGCCUGAGGACAUUUGAGGCGCAAGCCCUUGAGCCAUAAGGCACACCUUUAAUAACUCCAAUCGAGGUCCUUUUACCAUUUAAGUUGCACUUGUUUGCGCUGUUGUCCUUCUGAAGUGUCAAGGCAUCAAUUAGGUCCUCGUUUUGAUCAUCUGGGUCAAAGUCCUGAAGAAAUGAGCUUCAUAUUUUAGAAGUUGACUACACAAUUAUAAAUAAUAAGGACUUCAUCAACUUGUUUUGGUACUUUUGAAUUGAAAUAAGCCAUAAAAUACAAGGUAGCUGUCCCCUUCCCAUAAACCUCCCUGUUCCUUCAUCUAGGAUCUGAACCUGAGACCUUGUGAUGGGAAAGAAAUCUUUAUCAAGUGAAGACACUUUUAAAACUAUAUGCAAAGGAAAAAUAUUUUCUUAUGGUAAACCAACAAAGAAGGGACUUUGAGGUGUUUGUGUCAUUCAAGGUUGGAGCUACUAGUAUGUCGGUCU